rnacentral:rRNA from 1 species
AAUAUUGCGCAAUGGGGGGAACCCUGACGCAGCAACGCCGCGCGAGUGACGAAGGUUUUCGGAUCGUAAAGCUCUGUCAUUGGGGACGAAAAGAUGACGGUACCCAAGUAGGAAGCCCCGGCUAACUACGUGCCAGCAGCCCCGGCAAUACGUAGGGGGCGAGCGUUGUUCGGAAUUACUGGGCGUAAAGGGUACGCAGGCGGCCUGAUAAGUCAGCUGUGAAAUUCCACGGCUUAACCGUGGGGGUGCAGUUGAAACUGUUGGGCUUGAGUGCAGGAGAGGAAAGCGGAAUUCCUAGUGUAGCGGUGAAAUGCGUAGAGAUUAGGAGGAACACCAGUGGCGAAGGCGGCUUUCUGGACUGUAACUGACGCUGAGGUACGAAAGCGUGGGGAGCAAACA